AGGGAAUAUUGCGCAAUGGGGGAAACCCUGACGCAGCGACGCCGCGUGAGCGAUGAAGGCCUUCGGGUCGUAAAGCUCUGUCCUCAGGGAAGAAACAAUGACGGUACCUGAGGAGGAAGCCCCGGCUAACUACGUGCCAGCAGCCGCGGUAAUACGUAGGGGGCGAGCGUUGUCCGGAAUUAUUGGGCGUAAAGGGUGCGUAGGCGGCCAUUUAAGUCAGAUGUGAAAGACCAGGGCUUAACCUUGGGGUUGCAUUUGAAACUGGAUGGCUUGAGUAUCGGAGAGGGCAGUGGAAUUCCCGGUGUAGCGGUGAAAUGCGUAGAGAUCGGGAGGAACACCAGUGGCGAAGGCGACUGCCUGGACGAAAACUGACGCUGAGGCACGAAAGCUAGGGGAGCGAAC
rnacentral:rRNA from 1 species